AGAUGUUGUACCUAGUGAAGGAGAAGCUCUGCUCCCAGGAGCCUUUUUUCACCUCAGGCAUUUCAUUUCUACCUCAGAUAUCUUACAAAUUAAAGAGCUGGGGUUUGAGCUUUAGUUAGUGACACUGCAUCCACUUAGCAAAACCAAGGCUCUCAGUUCAUUCCACAGCACUGGAAACAAAAGGUUUCAGAUGAAGAAAGUGACACAUGAUUGCAUUUGAAUCUAAACUCAUAAACUUCUUAAGUGCUGGAACAAAUAUGAAAAUCAGAAAGACAGAGAAAGUCAUUAUGCUAACAUUGGAAAAUUUUAGAAACAAAUCACAAUGAUGAUAAGUAUAUACAAUUUUCAUAGGUGGGAUCUUGUGAAAAUGUACAAACAGAAUGAAUCAUUCCAGAGACUAAUUCAGGAAAGCCUUAAUCUUGACUUUAAAUGUUGAAUUAGACUAUGCCCCAUUUUUUCCAAUUGAAUGCAGGGGAUGAUAUAUAAACAGUAUUUAAAGAAUCUGUAAACUAUCUCACUAAAGUGCUACUUUCUAUAUUUACAUAUGAAUAGUAUGGAAUAGGAUUUAUAUGCAAAGGACCAUGUAGCCUACCAAAGAGAGUCAAAGAAAUGAGGUGAGAUCGGACUUUUCUUAAUACUUUUGCAAUAUAGGCAUCCUUCCAAAUGCAAAGCACAGAAGAAAAAGAUCAGAAGUCACCCAAGAAACAUUGAUGUUGCCAAGAUGUAGGCAGAAUGCAAGUAGAACAGCUCUGUGAGGCUGAGAAGACAAAUAAGAGUAACUCAGCAAGAUUCAGACCUCUCUAUGUAGUUUUGGCUGUCCUGGAACUUACUGAGUAGAAAUGGCAGGCCUCAAACUCACAGACAUUCUCCUCCUGCAGUCUCCUGAUUGUUGGCAUUAAAAGCCUGAGAUUAAAAUCAUUCCUGACCUG
rnacentral:lncRNA from 1 species